CAAUUUUUAAAUUCUCUCACAGUGUUCGAUCCCUCGAAUAAUUUCUUCCAAUUUGAAUAUGUUUUUUCCCUUGAAUGGAAAGUGAACGUAGCUUGUGGUGGUCAAUAAAUGCCAUUUAUUUCAACUUGAUUCUUUUUAAGUUCUCUCUAGAGCCAAAGGAGUCGAGGGGAGAAAAAAAAAUGAGAGAAAAAUGGAGAGUUUACCCCACAGAGCUGAAGAAGGUGAGCCUUAUAGCAGCGCCCAUCACCACUGCGUUAGUUCUUCAGUACCUUCUGCAGGUCGUCACCGUCGUCAUCGUCGGCCAUCUCGGCGACGAGCUCUUGCUCUCCGGCGUCUCUAUCGCCACUUCCUUCGUCCGUGUCACCGGCUUUAGCCUCCUCUUGGGAAUGGCUGGAGCUUUGGAAACUCUAUGUGGGCAAGCAUAUGGGGCAGAGCAAUAUCAGAAGCUUGGAGUUUAUACUUACAGUUGUAUGAUUUCUCUCAUUUUGGUCUGUUUCCCAAUCUCUGUGCUGUGGUUCUUCACAGACAAGUUACUAAUUUCCAUUGGCCAAGACCCUUCCAUUUCUUCUGUGGCCAGAAAAUACUCAGUUUUUUUAAUUCCAAAUCUGUUUGCGUGUGCAAUUCUUCAGUCUCUUCUCCGCUAUUUCCUCACUCAGAGCCUCAUUCUUCCUCUGCUCUUCAGCUCCUUUGCCACUCUCUGUUUGCAUAUUCCCAUUUGUUGGCUUUUUGUGUUCCAUUUCAAGCUUAGGGUUGUGGGAGCUGCUUUGGCCCUUGGUAUAUCCUAUUGGCUCAAUGUCAUUUUGCUUGCCUCUUAUGUCUUCUUCUCUCCAUCUUGCAACAAGACUCGGGCCCCGCUCUCGAGGGAGGCCAUCUCGAGCAUCGGCCAGUUUUUUCGUCUUGCUGUCCCCUCUGCCGUGAUGGUUUGCCUUGAAUGGUGGUCUUAUGAGGUCAUUCUGUUGCUGUCUGGGCUUCUUCCAAAUCCCAAGGUGGAGGCUUCUGUGCUAUCUAUAUGUUUCUCAAUCACUUAUUUGCAUUAUUUCAUACCAUAUGGGUUGGGGGCCACAGUAAGUACAAGGGUUUCAAAUGAACUAGGAGCUGGAAAUCCAGAGGCAGCAAAAGUGGCAGUGAAGGUAGUGGGAGCUCUUGGAAUCAUAGAAUCAAUAACUGUGAGUGUGAUUCUCUUUGGAUGUCGCAAUAUCUUAGGCUAUGCCUUCACCAAUGACACCCAAAUUGCCGAUCACAUUGCUUCUAUGUGGCCUUUGAUUUGCCUUUCCAUUCUCAUAGAUACUUUCCUUGGCAUCCUUUCAGGGGUUGCAAGAGGCACCGGGUGGCAGCAGUUAGGAGCAUAUGUGAAUUUGGGAUCAUAUUAUAUAGUUGGGAUUCCAAUGGCAGCUGUUUUGGCUUUUGUGGCACAUUUGAGAGUUAAAGGGCUGUGGAUUGGCUUGGUUUCAGGAGCAACUAUUCAAAGCCUUCUUUUUGCUCUCAUCACCAUUUUCACUAAUUGGCAUAAACAGAGCAGGAUUCAUAGCUCACCAUGAUAAGCCAAGGCUCUACCUCCAAUACAAAUGUUUCUGUUAACCAAUCUGCAACAGGUGCUGCAGUAAUGAUUGCAACUCCUUUCGGCAAUCCCCUCAAUGCAGUUCUCACGGUCAAGCUUGAUGAAAAGAAUUACCUCCUAUGAAAAUCAAUGGUGUUGGCAGUACUAAGAGGACAAAAACUAGAAGGAUACAUCCUGGGAACGAUAGUGGCACCCUCACAGACGAUACAAGAUGUAGAAACUGGACAUCCAAGUCCAAAUCCAUCUUAUGAAAGUUGGGUAACAACAGAUCAGUCACUACUAGCAUGGCUAUAUGGCUCAAUGACUCCAAUGAUAGCUUGUGAUGUAUUGAGCUUAGAAACCUCAAGAGAUGUCUGAAAGGCCUUAGAAAAUCAGGCUCGUGUGAAUCAACUAAAAGCGAGUCUACAAACAAGAAGAAAAAAUCAACUCAAGAUGAGUGAAUAUCUUUCAACAAUGAAACAACUUGCUGAUUAUUUAACUCUUGCAGGAGAAGCGGUCGGUGAAAGAUCCUUAAUUUCUAGUGUACUCACAGGACUUGAUGUUGAGUAUCUACCAGUAGCAUGUCAGAUAAAUGCCAAUAAGGGAGAAAUGUUUUGGCAGAGCUUCACGCAACUCUCAUCACAUUUGAGAACACAUUGAUCCAUCUCAAUAGUAUUGACAAUAUUAUAGAUCCAUCAAUAAAUCCAUCAGCAAACUAUGCCUAUAAUAAAGGUACACACAAAAACUAGAAACCACAAUAUCAAAAUCAAUGGAGAGGACAAGGUGGAAAUACAAGAGGAAGAAGUCGGGGAGGAAGAUCUCAAGGCCAAAGAAAUAGUGGACCAAGACUCACAUGUCAAGUAUGUGGAAAGGUUGGUCAUGUUACAUAUCAAUGCUAUCACAGAUACAACAAAGCUUACAUGGGAGGCGCACCACAAAGAGGUGGAAGUGAGACCUCUUUCUGACCCGAGUUGGCUAAUGGACAGCGGUGCUACAAAUCACACAACAAAUGAUGGUGCCAAUCUUGGUCAGAAAACUGAAUACAAUGGAAGUGAGACCUUGACAAUAGGUGCUUGAACAACUUUGAAAGCUUGGAGUACAUAAUUGAUCACACAAUGGAGCAGACUUUUCAUAGAAGAAGAAAUGAGCAGAUAAUGGUCCAAGCUGAAGAAAACAUGAAUCCAUCACAGAAUCCAAGAAAUGGGAGAGUAGAGUAAAUGGAACCCUGUGGCUACUGUUCCAACAGCAGCCGCUCCCCUACUCAAUGUUAUACUAUGAGCAGACGAAACAAACAUUGAGAUAAGAGCUUAUGCAGCUCCAGCAUUCUACAAUUUUAAUCCAGUCAUCAUGGAGCCUGAAAUCGAAGUAGACAGAUUUGAGCUGAAGCUAGUGAUUAAUUUAGCUCAAAGGGACAACUAAAACAUUAUUUAGAGCAAGGUGACCUUUAAGAGUUUUGAAAGUAGUGUGUUCUGUGUGAGUAAUGUGUAGACCCUUAUUCAGCAUCAUUAUAAGGGUGUAAAAAUUGAAUUUUACUUGGAUCGUUUACCACAUGAAAGGUUGUCCAGAGUCGGUAUAGAUAUUUUCAUUAGCAACUUCGUUCAAAGUUAAGGCAGCAAGAGCUUCAAGUAUUUCUUCAAAUUGGUAAGCAUGGUGAAAUCUAUUCCAACAUUCUAGUGCGGUGUGAUUGUUCUUAUCACAUAUCUGACAUGUCACUUGUUUUUCCUGUUUGAAACCUAUUCUUCCAUUUGAAUGUUGAUGAUUAUUGUUUACCUUUUAUACGAUAGUUCCUUGUUGAUAGCUUGUCUGGGUUUUAGGCUGUUUACUAUGAUAAAAGCCUCUUCCCAUAUCUGACAUAUCACUUGUUUUUCCUGUUUGAAACCAUGCACAGUAAGUUUUCUGAUUGGGCCAUGACAAUGACAGAUUAUUGAAGGAUGGAUCUUUAGUCUUUCCGUGCCUACUCUGAUACCAUAAAAGAUUUAGCUCAAAGGUUAGGAGGGAUCAGACACAAACUGAGAUAACAAUCAUUACUAAUUUUCUUGAGCUUUACAGUAGGCUAAAAUCUAAUUUUAAAUGACACGAAAGACUAUUACAAAAAACCCAAGGUUAGGUAUAUACAUGGAAGAAAAGAACUCAACGGUAACAAACAUAAAUGCAUAAAUGAGGUAAUAACAAAUAUGGUGAAAGGGGGAAAGAUGACAUCUUUCUACUACAGCAAUUAAGGAAGUUAAUUGCAGUUAAUUGCUGUGAUGUUGGGGAUUUGAUUGACAGGUAAUGCCAAUAAUUGAGGGGCUGCUAUUAUUGCAAAGAUUGCAAAUGUUUUGCCUUCAUUUAUUGUUGGUAGUGAGGUACUGAUAUGAGGCCAUGAGAAUACUGAGUUGGCAGAUUCUGCUGAGUUGGUUGACGUUGUUGACGGGGAAGAUCAAGCCUGGUUGGUUGUUUAAUAUGAUGUUUCAAAUGCUGCAAACGAUGAGUCAAUUUCACGGUCAUCUAACCGAAGACCCAUACUUGCAUUUGAGAUUCUUUAUAGUGGUGCGUGACUUGUUCAAGGUUGAGAGAAUAUCGAAAGUGGUGUCGCAAUUAUAGUUAUUCCCCUAUUCACUUAGAGACGAAGCACAAACAUGGUUGGAUUCGCUACCAUCAAAGUCAAAUCACAAGUUGGAACGAUUUGGCAGAAAAAUUCCUGAUGAAGUAUUUCUCACCCAACAAAAAUACAAAGUUCCAAAGUGAGAUCAAUAAUUUCCAACAAUUUGUUGGGGAAUCUGUUAGUAAAUCCUAGGAGCGGUUUAAAAGACUGUUACAAAAGUGCCCACAUCGUGGAAUUCCAAGGUGCAUCCAUAUUGAGACUUACUAUAAUGGGUUAAAUGAUGCUACGAUGUUAGUCAUUGAUUUGUCUGCUAAUGUAGGGCUUAAUUCUGCCCAAACUUUAGGCAAAAGCAUUUGACAUUUUGGAAUGGAUAUCAUCAAACAAUCACUAAUGGUCUGAUCCAUAAGCUAUUCAAGGAAACAGAACCAAGGGAUUGAAUGAUGCUGAUGCCUUCUCAGCAAUAAACUCCAAGAUCGAGAACCUGGCCGACUUAGUAAUGAGGAGCACGUCACAAUAGACUGUAGUGGGAACAUUUGCUGCUAAGGAAAAUUUGAGCCACACCUAAGGGAUUUCUUGCUCAUAUUUCGAAGGAGAGCAUCAUUUCAAUGAUUAUCCUGGAAACCCAGAAUCAGUAUAUUACUUGGAAAAUUCGUAGAACAACCAAAAACCCUUACUCCAAUACAUUUAACCUAGGGUGGAGAAACCAUCCAAAUUUUAGCUGGGGUGGAAACCACGGAGGGAAUAAUGUAGAAGCUUCGAAUGCCCCAACAUAUCAGCAGAAAUGAAAUUACCCACUUGGUUUUGCAAAUCAAGGUCAGCCAUUGGCUCAACGGCAGACAGAAGGAACUUUACUUCCCUGGAAAAUUUAAUUAAUGCAUACAUGGCAAAGAAUGAUGCAACGGUACAGAGUCAAACCGCAUCCUUGCGUAACUUAGAAAUUUAGAUGGGACAGCUAGCCACAAAUCCAAAAAAUAUACCGCAUGGAUCGUUACCAAUUGAUAUAGAACCCUUAAGGAGGGACGGUAAGGAGCAAUGUAAGACUCUUACUUUGAGAAUUGGAAAGUGUUGGGUGUGUUGCCCUAAACUCGUAGUUUGUAUUUUC